UACAGAGGUCCCAAGCGUUGUUCGGAUUCACUGGGCGUAAAGGGUGCGUAGGCGGUCGGGUAAGUCUGAUGUGAAAUCUCACAGCUUAACUGUGAAACUGCAUUGGAUACUAUCCGGUUCGAGGAAUGGAGGGGAGACUGGAAUACUUGGUGUAGCAGUGAAAUGCGUAGAUAUCAAGUGGAACACCAGUGGCGAAGGCGAGUCUCUGGACAUUUCCCGACGCUGAGGCACGAAAGCCAGGGGAGCAAACGGG
rnacentral:rRNA from 1 species